AGUAUGAUACUUACAGUUUGCUGGGGUAGAUGGGGGUGCUCUUCACUGGAAUGAAGAUGAUGAGUUUCACUUUGGACCAGGAGAUAUCCACAUGUUCACAUUUCUUCUUCUACUAGAAGCAUUUGUAUAAGCCUUUGUUUAGUACCAGUCACUCUUUUACUUUCCAAUUGUUCUAAGGCUGAUGUAGAUGUCAUAGUUGAUCUUCGGCAUAAAACAACAAGUCCAGAAGCACUGGAAAUCCAUGGAUCAUUCACAUGGCUUGGACAAACACAGUAUAAACUUCAACUUAAAAGCCAGGAGAUUCACAGUCUGCAGCUGAAAGCAUGCUUUGUUCAUACAGGUGUUUAUAACCUUGGAACUCCUAGGGUAUUUGCCAAGUUAUCGGACCAAGUUACAGUGUUUGAAACAAGUCAGCAGAAUUCCAUGCCUGCCCUGAUCAUCAUCAGUAAUGUGUGACAACUUGGAAAUUUGUACUGAAAUCCACAAUAAUCAGUUUUUGCUGGAUGGGUUUUACAGCAGUAUUUGAUAUACCUAACUUGUUAUGGAGGUUGAUUGAUAUCUGAUCCCUGCAAAAUACUUUGACUUGUCAUUUUGUUGAUGAUGCAAAGCACGUUGGACUGAGAAUACUUAACAUUCUUUUUCUGUAUUUCUUUAAACCCUGAGAAUAAUUUACAUGCUCAUAAUACAGGAUAUCAGCAUAUUUGUGCACCUUA
rnacentral:lncRNA from 1 species